rnacentral:rRNA from 1 species
AUUGAACGCUGGCGGAAUGCUUUACACAUGCAAGUCGAACGGCAGCAUAGGUGCUUGCACCUGAUGGCGAGUGGCGAACGGGUGAGUAAUACAUCGGAACGUGCCCAGUCGUGGGGGAUAACGUAGCGAAAGUUACGCUAAUACCGCAUACGAUCUAAGGAUGAAAGCGGGGGACCGUAAGGCCUCGCGCGAUUGGAGCGGCCGAUGUUAGAUUAGGUAGUUGGUGGGGUAAAGGCUCACCAAGCCGACGAUCUAUAGCUGGUCUGAGAGGAUGAUCAGCCACACUGGGACUGAGACACGGCCCAGACUCCUACGGGAGGCAGCAGUGGGGAAUUUUGGACAAUGGGCGCAAGCCUGAUCCAGCCAUUCCGCGUGCAGGACGAAGGCCUUCGGGUUGUAAACUGCUUUUGUACAGAACGAAAAGCCUUGGGUUAAUACCCUAGGGUCAUGACGGUACUGUAAGAAUAAGCACCGGCUAACUACGUG